CACGUAGGGUGCGAGCGUUGUCCGGAAUUAUUGGGCCUAAAGCAUCCGUAGCCGGUUUUACAAGUCCCCCGUUAAAUCCAGCUGCUUAACAGAUGGGCUGCGGAGGAUACUAUAAGACUAAGAGGCAGGAGAGGCAAGCGGUACUCAGUGGGUAGGGGUAAAAUCCGUUGAUCCAUUGAAGACCACCAGUGGCGAAGGCGGCUUGCCAGAAUGCGCUCGACGGUGAGGGAUGAAAGCUGGGGGAGCAAACCGG
rnacentral:rRNA from 1 species